GUUUGAUCCUGGCUCGAUUGAACGCUGGCGGAAUGCUUUACACAUCCUUAUCGAACGGCAGCACGAGAGCUUGCUCUUGGUGGCGAGUGGUGAACGGGUGAGUAAUAUAUCGGAACGUAUCCAAUAAUGGGGGAUAACUAAUCGAAAGGUUGGCUAAUACCGCAUACGCCCUACGGGGGAAAGCAGGGGAUCUUCGGACCUUGCGUUAAUGGAGCGGCUGAUACCUGAUUAGCUAGUAGGUGAGGUAAAGGCUCACCUAGGCUUCGAUCAGUAGCUGGUCUGAGAGGACGACCAGCCACACUGGAACUGAGACACGGUCCAGACUCCUACGGGAGGCAGCAGUGGGGAAUUUUGGACAAUGGGGGCAACCCUGAUCCAGCCAUUCCGCGUGAGUGAAGAAGGCCUUCGGGUUGUAAAGCUCUUUCGCAGGGGAAGAAACGUUACGAGCGAAUAACUCGUGAUAAUGACGGUACCUUGAUAAGAAGCACCGGCUAACUACGUGCCAGCAGCCGCGGUAAUACGUAGGGUGCGAGCGUUAAUCGGAAUUACUGGGCGUAAAGCGUGCGCAGGCGGUUUUGUAAGUCAGAUGUGAAAUCCCCGAGCUCAACUUGGGAACUGCGUUUGAAACUACAAGGCUAGAGUAUGGUAGAGGGGGGUAGAAUUCCACGUGUAGCAGUGAAAUGCGUAGAGAUGUGGAGGGAUACCAAUGGCGAAGGCAGCCCCCUGGACUAAUACUGACGCUCAUGCACGAAAGCGUGGGGAGCAAACAGGAUUAGAUACCCUGGUAGUCCACGCCCUAAACGAUGUCUACUAGUUGUUGGGAGAGUAAAAUCUCCUAGUAACGCAGCUAACGCGUGAAGUAGACCGCCUGGGGAGUACGGUCGGCAGAUUAAAACUCAAAGGAAUUGACGGGGGCCCG
rnacentral:rRNA from 1 species